rnacentral:rRNA from 1 species
UACGUAGGGUGCAAGCGUUGUCCGGAAUUAUUGGGCGUAAAGAGCUCGUAGGCGGCUUGUCGCGUCGGCUGUGAAAACCUGGGGCUCAACCCCGGGCCUGCAGCCGAUACGGGCAAGCUAGAAUUCGGUAGGGGAGACUGGAAUUCCUGGUGUAGCGGUGAAAUGCGCAGAUAUCAGGAGGAACACCGGUGGCGAAGGCGGGUCCUCUGGGCCGAUAUUGACGCUGAGGAGCGAAAGCGUGGGGAGCGAACAGGG